UGGCUGUCUCUGUCAAAUAAAUAAAUAAAUAAUCUUAAAAACAAAAAAACCCCCCACAAAUAUGUGAUUAAUAAAAAUACGUGCUUUCUUCAUCUAAGUGAGUGUUAUAAAUGUAGAAUCUAGAGCCUUAAAAAAAAUCUUCUGUUGGCCAAUUAAUUUAUUUACUUAGUUUAUUCCUUCCCCAAACAAGGUAUACCAUUACCUGAGAAUUUCAAACACAUGCUUUGCUGACUUUUCUUCUAUUUAUGUAUUUUUAUUUGGUUUAUUUUAUGAAGAGGGGGAAGGAAUUCACUGCCACUGAUGCCAACAAGUCUUCCUCAGAUCCUCCAAGCAAUCUUUUUCAUGUUUUCUUGGAAUUCUUCAGGUCUGGAGGCACGGUCUGGUGUAGAGCAAACCUGGUGUGGUCCAAAGUUAGCUGUGAAAUCAGAUAGGACAAAGUUCCUUUUUACUAACAGUGUGAGCAGCUGGAAUUGGAGUUAUCAUCCCUCUGUGUUAAAGAAGUCCUGAGGCUUCCAUCUCUACUGCACUUGGGGCAAGUUGUUGCUGGGGGCUUGCCUUUGGCCUCUGAGCCCCAUGGAUCCCAACUACAUGCUCCUCCAAGGUAAGGGCUGUAUUAUUCAGCUUUUCUUGUAUUCAUCCCUACAGCUUGUGCAAGUCAGCCAGUGUUCAAUAAAGAAAUAUCACAGCUAAGAAUAAAAUGUCAUUGUCCUUAAUUUCCCCCCCAAAACCACUAGGUGUCGCCUUCAUCUCAGAGAAACUAGGCCCCUCCUCUCCCUGCACACCUACACGCCCUCUCUCUACUCUUGGAGCUCUCAGCUUCUUGGCACUGUGAUUUCUGGAGAAGAGGCUUGAAGGGGGGAGACAAACUGUGGCUCUCGCAAGGGGGAGGAGAAUGGAUUUAUAUGCAUCUCCUUUAUGACAAUUUGAGAGAAACUCCCCAAGGUCCCAUAGCAAUCCCUCCCAGCAACCAUGAUAUCAUCCCUCAUAAGCUGUUCUUGGGAUUAGAUUGGCAUGCCAGAUAUGGGGUAUCUGGGGGAGAGCCUUCUAGGUUGGAGGCUUGGGAGCAGGGUGGAACCCAAAGGGGAUACAAUGGGCUUCCAUUCCUCGGGGGGGAUAUUCUGCUUAGUCAGUCCAUGAGCUGUUGUCAGAUGCAAGCCUGGGCUGUGCAGGGAGACAAAAGGGGAGAGGCUGUUCCUGGUCUGGGUCCCUGGAGCAGAUGGUGUGGUUGAGGCCUAGCAGGGUAUGAUGGGCCUCUGAGGACAUGGGAGACCACAGAAGGGAGCAUGGGGAAGGAAAAGGGAGGUUGGAGGGUUGAGUUCGAAGGAAGAAGGAGAC